UGACCUCCGAGGGUCAAAGCCUGUUUUCUGGUUCAGUGGGGAGCUCUGCUGGGUCUCUCCAGCCUGGAGGUAGAAUGGAAUUCAUCAUGGCGGACACCUCCAUUGGCCUUAUGGUUUCCAAGGCAUUUUCGGUAUAUCAUGUGACAGCAGCUCCAUGAGUUCAGCUAGGCCCACUUAGUCCCAUUUUCCCAAGGAGGACAUUCCCCUGAGGCUGAGAGGGGGACUGAUUCUCCCAGAGUCCCAGAGCUCGGGAGGGGUGCAAGUAGAGCUUGACUAGGUCUUCCUUGACUAGGAGCCCAUUGCUCUUAUCACUACCAUAAUGCAAGAACAUUCUAUGGUGGAAAAGGAAGACUGGGGUUUCAUCCCUAGUUCUGUUACCACCUUACUCUCCUUCCCGGGCUCUCAACUUCUCUUUCUGUAAAAUAAAAGAUCUGGGCUCCCUAAUUUCUCACUUUCCAUCCUGGCUAAAUUCUCUACUCCCCAGCAACUCAAGUUAGGCGGAGCCUUCUCUUUUAAAAUUGUAUUUUUAGUUCCCUGUAUCUCUCCCUGCACUCUCCUCCCAAUCCUGGAGGAGUCCAGGACACUUCUCCCCACCCCCUACUUGUGUCCUGGAAGCCUGGCCUGAGUCGAGGUGAAGACAGUGAGGUGAGGACAGCUGGGUUGUUGGGUUGGCACAAUAGUUGUUAUGGAGACUGGGGCAGGUGCAGAGGGAGAAAGGGCUUAGGGGUAGGGGAAGCAGCUCCGGGAAUCUUGGACCCCCAGGGGGUCAAGGGGAUGGGGCCUUCAAACUUUGGGCCCCAUGACCCUGAUCUUCAGGGCCCCCCCUGGGUGUGUGGGGGGAGGGGUCUUUGAGCUACUCCUUUUUGGGGGUGGGAUGCAGAUCUGGCUGGACUCUCCUGCCCUUGGUCAGACAGGGAGUAAGUAAGCAAGAGAAUCAUCAGACUCCAAAUCCAAGCAUCCUCCCACUAAACCACAUGUCUACGUCUCCAUUUGCCCUUCGCUUGCCUCAGUUCUCACUUGAAACAUGAGUUGACUACCAUGGGGGGAGUAUUUUAAAGUGCUUGAUAAAAGGCAUAAAUAAGGUCCUAAAACCACAGAACUGGGAAUUUGGGGACAACCUCAGAGAUCAAUUAGUCUGAGUCAGCUUUAUGUUAGAUAUAAGGAAAUUGGGACCUGGAGAAGGAAAAUGACUGAUCCAGGGCCAUACAGUGAGUGAACAUAAAAGCUGGUCCUAGAACCUAGCUUAUCUCACAGGGGCUGUCGAGAGGCUCUUAGGAUAUAAUGAAUAGAAAGUACUUUGGAUGAUCGAGAUAAGCUAUGAUGAGGAUGAUUCUCUAAUAGUAUUUUAAUAUUACCAUUAUUAUAGUAUUGAUCAUGACUAGCUCAAAGGGAUCUCAGUUAUUUAGUUCAACCUCCUCUUUUUUGUAGGGGAGGCCCAGGCAAGUUAAGUUACUUGUCCAAGGUCACUCAGCAAAGUGGUGGGAAGAAACCUUCUGUGCGUCCCCAUCCAGCCCUCCAUCUUCGCCUCCUAGCCCCACCUCCAGAUUUAAAGCUAGAAGGGACUGAAUGCAGCCCCCUAUUUUAUAGAGGAGGAGACUGAGGCCCAGAGAGAGGAAAUGACUUAUCCAAGGCCACACAGAAAUCAGAGGUAGAGAGCUAGAAGGGCCCUCCAAGGCUACCUAAUUCAUCUCUCCCAUUUUCUGGGCAAGGAAGCUGAAUCAUGUUUUGUUUCCACUGGAUCUCUUGAAGGGAUUUCUUUCCUGUAUCUGUGGAAGCCCGGGAACUUCUUGGGGAUGGGGAGUGGGGUGGGACAUCUCUCUGCUGCCUCCUGCCUCAUCUGUCUUUGUUUCAU
rnacentral:lncRNA from 1 species